GAGAAAGUACGCAAGAGCUGCUAACUCAUGCCACCGUACUUAGACGUACGGCUUUCUUA
rnacentral:tRNA from 1 species